rnacentral:rRNA from 1 species
UACGUAGGGUGCGAGCGUUAAUCGGAAUUACUGGGCGUAAAGCGUGCGCAGGCGGUUUUGUAAGCCAGAUGUGAAAUCCCCGGGCUCAACCUGGGAAUGGCAUUUGGGACUGCAAGGCUUGAGUGCGGCAGAGGAGACUGGAAUUCCUGGUGUAGCAGUGAAAUGCGUAGAGAUCGGGAGGAACAUCAGUUGCGAAGGCGGCUCUCUGGACCAGCACUGACACUGAGGCACGAAAGCGUGGGGAGCAAACAGG